rnacentral:rRNA from 1 species
CCUACGGGAGGCAGCAGUGAGGAAUAUUGGUCAAUGGACGAGAGUCUGAACCAGCCAAGUAGCGUGAAGGAUGACUGCCCUAUGGGUUGUAAACUUCUUUUAUAUGGGAAUAAAAUGUUCCACGUGUGGGAUUUUGUAUGUACCAUAUGAAUAAGGAUCGGCUAACUCCGUGCCAGCAGCCGCGGUAAGACGGAGGAUCCGAGCGUUAUCCGGAUGUAUUGGGUUUAAAGGGAGCGUAGGUGGAUUGUUAAGUCAGGUGUGAAAGUUUGCGGCGCAAACGUAAGAUUGCAUUUGAAACUGGCAGUCUUGAGUACAGUAGAGGUGUGCGGAAUUCGUGGUGUAGCGGUGAAAUGCUUAGAUAUCACGAAGAACUCCGAUUGCGAAGGCAGCUCACUGGACUGCAACUGACACUGAGGCUCGAAAGUGUGGGUAUCAAACAGGAUUAGAUACCCUUGUAGUC